UACGUAGGGGGCUAGCGUUGUCCGGAAUCAUUGGGCGUAAAGCGCGUGUAGGCGGUUCGGUAAGUCCGCUGUGAAAGUCGGGGGCUCAACCCUCGGAUGCCGGUGGAUACUGUCGGACUAGAGUACGGAAGAGGCGAGUGGAAUUCCUGGUGUAGCGGUGAAAUGCGUAGAUAUCAAGCAGAACACCGGUGGCGAAGGCGGCCUUCUGGACGAUGACUGACGCUGAGACGCGAAAGCGUGGGGAGCAAACAGG
rnacentral:rRNA from 1 species